rnacentral:rRNA from 1 species
GUGUCAGCCGCCGCGGUAAUACGUAGGGUCCGAGCGUUGUCCGGAAUUAUUGGGCGUAAAGAGCUCGUAGGCGGUUUGUCGCGUCUGCUGUGAAAUCCCGAGGCUCAACCUCGGGUCUGCAGUGGGUACGGGCAGACUGGAGUGCGGUAGGGGAGAAUGGAAUUCCUGGUGUAGCGGUGGAAUGCGCAGAUAUCAGGAGGAACACCGAUGGCGAAGGCAGUUCUCUGGGCCGUAACUGACGCUGAGGAGCGAAAGCGUGGGGAGCGAACAGGAUUAGAUACCCUGGUAGUCCACGCCGUAAACGUUGGGCGCUAGAUGUGGGGAUCUUUCCACGGUUUCCGUGUCGUAGCUAACGCAUUAAGCGCCCCGCCUGGGGAGUACGGCCGCAAGGCUAAA